ensembl:lncRNA
AGAAAAUGGAGGACAGAGGAGUUAGCUAAACCAAUUGACAAUCUCCCUGAGAGGGAGACUGAGAAAGUGAUUGAGUGAAAAGGAGAGUGGGAAACCCGAAAACAGGGCGGGAAAGAGAGAUGCACAGAAAAAGCGAGAGAAAAGGAGCCAGGCUUGGCAAACAGAGUGAAGAGGGGAGGCUUUACAAGAGAGGAAAUUCCAAAAUGAUCGCCGUCUUCUCCAUUUUACUGGCUUGAUCCCAGGACGGACACAGGAUGUGAAGAGAGCAGGUGGCUGACAGUCUCACAGCAACAGAAAUGGGAGGCUGUGGAGGAUAUGACAAACAGCCCUCAUUCAGUCAGCAGACUAACUGGACAGCUCUACUGUACGCCACAGGGGACAGACCCUUGGCAGGCAGAGAGGUCGCUGAGCUCUGAGAACAACAGUUAGUUGGGUGGAUCUUCUUCACAGCUCUACUGUUAAGAGGCAGUGUCCAAAGUGUGGAGGAUGAUGUCACACGUCAGCUGUCCUCAUAGCUGGGCUACCAUGGCAACGACAUUCAUCAGAAUGACUUCCUGCAAAAGCAAA